ACUGGAAAAAAUACUAUUUUUAUUUAGGAAAAUGAUUGGUAUACAUCUUUUUUCCCAUACCACUCUUGUACCAUCUCCUAUGUAGCUUUUUUUUUUUUUGGUACAAUCCUAUGUGGCUUUUUUAUUUUUUUAUUUUUUCUCAUUUAUCUCACAUUCCCACCAACCAUCCUCUCUCUCUUCUCUAUUUGCAUCUCCCUUUCUCUCGCAGCUCUGUCCAACUCUGAGUUUCUCUUACAUAACCUUCUUCCUUUCUUCACCGACCAUCUCGCCGCCGCCCUCCGCCUCAGCACCGUCGGACUUGCAAUCUUCAUCUAACAGUGUCUCCUCUCUCUACUCCGACAACCUCUCGCACAGUAAAUCUUAAAACACAUAUCUGUAAAAAAAUCGAUCCAAAACAUAAGGUGGUUGUGUUUCUUGCGCGGUCACCGAUUUUUGGUGAUGGUGGUGACAUAAGGUGGAACUGUUGAUGUAGAUCUGGGUUUUUUUAUUCCGGCGCGUCACCGUCGUCGUCGUCCGUUUGUGAGUCCGGUGGAGAGGGGGAUAUGGUGGUCGGUGGAUAAACCGGCAGCUAUGAGACUGAAAAUGACACUGGUCUGUGGAAACGAACAAAAGGCGGUGGUGGCCAGCAAGCCAUUGGAUAUAGUGGAAGAGAGAAUACUGUUGUCGUUUUUUUUAGGGAAGAGAACAUUGUUGUGUUGUUUUUAUUUGAUUAAUAAAAUAAAUAAAAAAUAAAAUAAAUACCACAUAGGGAUAAGCAGAAUUUUCAUUAUAAAUUGUGCCAACUAAUAGUGGUAGA
rnacentral:lncRNA from 1 species